GUAGCCCGGGCGGUGCUUCCCCGAGAGUAGCCGUGGGAUGCAGCGCACGGGGGAG
ensembl:miRNA Mir7666 microRNA 7666